CAGUAAUGUGUGUAGCUAACCGAUACUAAUAGCUCGAUUGAUUUACUUUG
rnacentral:rRNA from 1 species